rnacentral:rRNA from 1 species
ACGCUCGACACCUACGGAGGCAGCAGUGGGGAAUAUUGCACAAUGGGGGAAACCCUGAUGCAGCGACGCCGCGUGAGCGAAGAAGUAUCUCGGUAUGUAAAGCUCUAUCAGCAGGGAAGAAAAUGACGGUACCUGACUAAGAAGCCCCGGCUAACUACGUGCCAACAGCCGCGGUAAUCUGAGCGGGCUGGCAAGGC